GCCGUCAUCUCUAUUAGUGAUCAUGGUCAUCACUUUUCUUUUGCUUUCAACAGCAACAUGGAAAAUCUGGCUCAGGGUCCAURAAAAAUGUGUCACAGUCUGAAAAUCUGAAGGAGCAGGGAAAGCAUUUGAAGCCACUCAAGCAAGGAGCACCAAGUAAAAUUGAAGAGAACACACAUUCUGGUUCUCUAAGUCCUACAACAGGAGGUCCAAAACCGAGAAGAGUGGGCACUCUUCCUUCCUAUAGCUUUAGUUUUAGGUGUGAUGAACGGGCUGAGAAAAGAAAAGAGUUCUACUCAAARCUUGAAGAAAAGAUCCAUGCAAAAGAAGUGGAGAAGAACACAUUGCAGGCCAAAUCCAAGGAAACUCAAGAAGCAGAGAUUAAGUUGCUUAGGAAGAGCUUGACCUUUAAAGCAACACCCAUGCCAAGUUUCUACCAGGAACCUGCACCGCCCAAAGUUGAAUUAAAGAA